GACCUCCGCCCGUCAAUCUGUACUCUUUGGUUACAGUUGUUCAACCAGUUACUAAUCUAACUAAUUGUAACCGGUUGAACAACUGAACCCAAAGGGUGCAAAGUGGAAACAUUUCAUUGA
rnacentral:pre_miRNA from 15 species